GCCUUCUUAGCUCAGCUGUUAGAGCGUUGGUCUCGUUCAACAAAUGACUAUAAAAAAUCUAGAAAUGGCAAACCAAAGGUCGAGAGUUCAAUCCUCUCAGGAGGCA
rfam:Daphnia pulex DAPPTscaffold_3195_Cont14741, whole genome shotgun sequence.